UAUCGGAGAGUUUGAUCCUGGCUCAGGACGAACGCUGGCGGCGUGCCUAAUACAUGCAAGUCGAGCGGACUUGAUGGAGCUUGCUCCUGAUAGUCAGCGG
rnacentral:rRNA from 1 species